UACGUAGGGGGCAGGCGUUGUCCGGAUUUAUUGGGCGUAAAGAGCGUGUAGGCGGCCAGAUAGGUCCGUUGUGAAAACUCGAGGCUCAACCUCGAGACGCCGAUGGAAACCAUUUGGCUAGAGUCCGGAAGAGGAGAGUGGAAUUCCUGGUGUAGCGGUGAAAUGCGCAGAUAUCAGGAGGAACACCGGUGGCGAAGGCGGGUCUCUGGGCAGUAACUGACGCUGAGGAGCGAAAGCGUGGGGAGCAAACAGG
rnacentral:rRNA from 1 species